rnacentral:rRNA from 1 species
GACGAACGCUGGCGGCGUGCUUAACACAUGCAAGUCGAACGGAAAGGCCCUGCUUUUGUGGGGUUCUCGAGUGGCGAACGGGUGAGUAACACGUGAGUAACCUGCCCUUGACUUUGGGAUAACUUCAGGAAACUGGGGCUAAUACCGGAUAGGAGCUCCUGCUGCAUGGUGGGGGUUGGAAAGUUUCGGCGGUUGGGGAUGGACGCGCGGCUUAUCAGCUUGUUGGUGGGGUAGUGGCUUACCAAGGCUUUGACGGGUAGCCGGCCUGAGAGGGUGACCGGCCACAUUGGGACUGAGGUACGGCGCAGACGCCAACGGGAGGCAGCAGUGGGGAAUAUUGCACAAUGGGCGGAAGCCUGAUGCAGCAACGCCGCGUGCGGGAUGACGGCCUUCGGGUUGUAAACAGCUUUCGCCUGUGACGAAGCGUGAGUGACGGUAAUGGGUAAAGAAGCACCGGCUAACUACGUG